GUGCUGUCGCUCACGGGCUGUGCGUAUCGCGCCUGCAACGUGCUGUUGAUGAACGUCUGCACCUCCUGGAAACACAACGCGGCGAGGGGGAUCAUGCGGAGCUGUGGGAGCGGAGCUGCAGGGAAACGUUGAGCUGAGAGACACCUUUGUGGGGACGUUGAUCAAGGAGGAGUUGAACCCGCACUGGAAACUGCCGCCUAUCCCCGCAGCGAGCGCCAUGAGCAGCAGGCGCACGGACGGCGUCUGCCAAGCAACGGCAACCGCGGACUGGAAUCCUGCAGGAGGAGUCAUGGUAGAAGCGGAUGCUGCGUGUACCCUGCUGAGCUCCUCGGGCUGCAUCGCUCCACAGGCUGCGGGCAGCUCCCCGUCUCCGCGGCGUUCCCGACUGAGCAGCCAACCGACGACUCCUCCACCCCUUCACACACAGGACACGGGUCGCCGAAAUCACUCCCCUCUCGAUCGUCGAAAUCACUCCCCCCGCGAUCGCCACUUCCAGCACCGCAAGGGCCGCCUCCGUGGCGCACUCAUGGGGUGGGGUGUGGGGGGUAGGGGGUGGGGGUUAGGGGGUGGGGGGCUGCUCC